rnacentral:rRNA from 1 species
GAUGAACGCUGGCGGCGUGCCUAAUACAUGCAAGUCGAGCGAACAGACGAGAGUGCUUGCACUCUCUGACGUUAGCGGCGGACGGGUGAGUAACACGUGGGUAACCUACCUAUAAGACUGGGAUAACUUCGGGAAACCGGAGCUAAUACCGGAUAAUAUUUAGCUUCGCAUGAAGCAAUAGUGAAAGACGGUUCUGCUGUCACUUAUAGAUGGACCCGCGGUGUAUUAGCUAGUUGGUGAGGUAACGGCUCACCAAGGCAACGAUACAUAGCCGACCUGAGAGGGUGAUCGGCCACACUGGAACUGAGACACGGCCCAGACUCCUACGGGAGGCAGCAGUAGGGAAUCUUCCGCAAUGGACGAAAGUCUGACGGAGCAAUGCCGCGUGAGUGAAGAAGGUUUUCGGAUCGUAAAACUCUGUUGUAAGGGAAGAACAAGUACGUUAGUAACUGAACGUACCUUGACGGUACCUAACCAGAAAGCCACGGCUAACUACGUG